rnacentral:lncRNA from 1 species
AAAUUUAUUGUACGUCUGUAAAUAGUUGAAUAGAAUUCUCUCCUCCCCAAAAGAUUUCAUAGCCUUAAUGUCCAAUACAAAUCACAUUUAACAUUCUACAUUUGGAUUUUUCCCCACAUGACUGAAAAAAUCUAUUGCAGAUAUUUGUCCAAAGUGUGGUAUACGACCAUCUGCAUUUCUCCUUUUUAUUUCACUCCCAAGAAAAUUUGUCCUUAGAAGUAAAAUGUCUAUCAGCAAACAUGAUUUUAGGUGUCUUUUUCAGGAUGUUGAAAAUGAGACAUCCUCAAUUCUGCCUUUUCAACUAUCAUUAAUGAAGCUUUGAUGUCAUUUGAUACCCAAAUCAAAUAACGUCAUUAAUGAAGCUUUGGUAUCCUUUGGCACUAAAGUCAAAUGGUGUCGUUAAUGAAGGUUUGGUGUCAUUAUCCACUUUUCAUGGAUAAUUGAGUUAAUUGUAUAAUGAUUAAUUUUUUGAUAGCAGAAGUCAUGAUAAAUCUCAUAUUACCUACAAAGCAUAGAUGUCAUUGGUGGGUUAAUGGCAGUUUUAAAAAAUGUGGACUGCAAGAUAAAAUCAUUGGUACUUAAGCUUCAAGGGAAUAAUGAUUGCUAAGAAAGCUCAAGGUUAAUUCUCUAGAUAAAUGGCUAUCAUAUAGUAUCGUAUAGUAUUUACUAUGUGGCAAACAUUGUUCUAAGAGCUUUAUACAUUUUUACUUAUUUAAUCAUCGUAAUAACAACAAGACAUUGGUAUUCAUAUUAUUUUCCCUUGCACAGAUAAGAACACUGAGGCAAAGGGAAGUUAAGCAAUUUGCCCUAUGUCAAGCAGCUACUAAUUGGCAGAGGUGGAAUUUGAACCCAGACAAUCAGAUUCUAGAAUCCAUGCUAUUAACCACUACAUUGUAUCACGUCUUAUAUAAAAGUACCUGGAAAAGAAAGCUGUUGGAAUAGGGGUGGAAUGCUAAUUAGGAUUUUGUUUUUGUCCCUUCACAAAUAUUACAGUGGCUUUUUUUCCUACAGAGAAUGUGUUUUCUUGCAAUGUGGUAUAACUACAAUUCCUGCUAGAGCUGACUCUGAUAUUAUCUAUACAUAAUUCUAAGCCUUCUGAACAUUAUUAUGUGACCUGGUGCUGAGUAUGUAGGAUGGUAUCAUUUAAAUUCUGGGUUCCUUAACCUAUGUUCUUUUCUUGCCCUUUCUAAGCUGUUGGGAGUCAUACAACUCCAUAGCACUCAAAGUGAAAAUUCUAUGUUACAUGUUCAUUAGAAUACACUCAAUUGUUUAAGUACUAAAGUUUAAAUAUUAUGAGUCAGGGUCAUCCUCUUAUAUAUUUGUUGCAAUAUUAAGUGUGUGGCAGACAUGAAUGCCCACAUACUGUUGUAGUUAAUUUCUUAAAGAGCUAAAAAGCCAUAAUACAAUUGUUUUUGCCUUAGCUAAGAUAACAAGGAAUAAUCUGUUAGUGUUGGUAUGAAAUGCACACUAGAUAAUGUUUUCCUUGUUGAUGAUUCUUAAUACCCAUUAUUAUAGUUCAACCUGAGUAUAGAUCUCAUUUGCUGAAUUAAGAAGGAUAAUUUUAAAUAAAACUCUAAAACUGGAACACUUAGUCAACAUGACUGUUUCUGAAUAGUAUGUUUUGAAGAAAUAUACAAAAGAAAAUCAGAGGAUAACAAUAUCAAGGAUUCAUGUUUAAAAUAUUUUCAGUGUAUGUUUUGGACUCAUUCCAGACAUUGUUCAAUUUUCUACAUUUAACUUGUGCUAAACAAAUCUUAAAAAAAAACUUUAGUCAUUUUGUCUUAAGGGCACACAAAUGCUUUCUGGCUAUGCUUUGCAUCCCACUCAGGCUUCUUCAUCUACCUUCCUUCCAAAAUGUUCUUCUUCCCAUCACAUCAAAUUUCUUAAGCAGCAGGUUCACCUGACCUCAGCUUACCCUCUUGCCAUAUGAUGUCUGCUCCUCUUCCUCUUCCACCAUGAUUGGAAGCUACUUAAGGUCCUCACCAGAAGCAGAUGCUGUUGUCAUGCUUCAUAUACAACCUGC